GAUGAACGCUGGCGGCGUGCUUAACACAUGCCAGUCGAACGGAAAGGCCCAAGCUUGCUUGGGUACUCGAGUGGCGAACGGGUGAGUAACACGUGGGUGAUCUGCCCUGCACUUCGGGAUAAGCCUGGGAAACUGGGUCUAAUAUCGGAUAGGACCACAUUUUGGAUGGUGUGGUGGAAAGUUUUUCGGUGUGGGAUGAGCUCGCGGCCUAUCAGCUUGUUGGUGGGGUAAUGGCCUACCAAGGCGUCGACGGGUAGCCGGCCUGAGAGGGUGUACGGCCACAUUGGGACUGAGAUACGGCCCAGACUCCUACGGGAGGCAGCAGUGGGGAAUAUUGCACAAUGGGCGCAAGCCUGAUGCAGCGACGCCGCGUGGGGGAUGACGGCCUUCGGGUUGGAAACUCCUUUCGCUAGGGACGAAGCGUUAUGUGACGGUACCUGGAGAAGAAGCACCGGCUAACUACGUG
rnacentral:rRNA from 1 species